rnacentral:rRNA from 1 species
AGUGAACGCUGGCGGUAGGCCUAACACAUGCAAGUCGAACGGCAGCACAGUAAGAGCUUGCUCUUACGGGUGGCGAGUGGCGGACGGGUGAGGAAUACAUCGGAAUCUACUUUUUCGUGGGGGGGAACGUAGGGAAACUUACGCUAAUACCGCAUACGACCUACGGGUGAAAGCAGGGGAUCUUCGGACCUUGCGCGAUUGAAGGAGCCGAUGUCGGAUUAGCUAGUUGGCGGGGUAAAGGCCCACCAAGGCGACGAUCCGUAGCUGGUCUGAGAGGAUGAUCAGCCACACUGGAACUGAGACACGGUCCAGACUCCUACGGGAGGCAGCAGUGGGGAAUAUUGGACAAUGGGCGCAAGCCUGAUCCAGCCAUACCGCGUGGGUGAAGAAGGCCUUCGGGUUGUAAAGCCCUUUUGUUGGGAAAGAAAAGCAGCAGGUUAAUACCCCGCUGUUCUGACGGUACCCAAAGAAUAAGCACCGGCUAACUUCGUG